rnacentral:rRNA from 1 species
UAUCGACGUAGUUUGAUCCUGGCUCAGAACGACGCUGGCGGCAGGCCUAACACAUGCAAGUCGAGCGAACCCUUCGGGGUUAGCGGCGGACGGGUUAGUAACGCGUGGGAAUAUACCCUUUGGUACGGAAUAGCCUCGGGAAACUGAGAGUAAUACCGUAUGUGCCCUUCGGGGGAAAGAUUUAUCGCCAAAGGAUUAGCCCGCGUUGGAUUAGGUAGUUGGUGGGGUAAUGGCCUACCAAGCCUACGAUCCAUAGCUGGUUUGAGAGGAUGAUCAGCAACACUGGGACUGAGACACGGCCCAGACUCCUACGGGAGGCAGCAGUGGGGAAUCUUAGACAAUGGGCGCAAGCCUGAUCUAGCCAUGCCGCGUGGACGAUGAAGGCCUUAGGGUUGUAAAGUCCUUUCAGAUGGGAAGAUAAUGACGGUACCAUCAGAAGAAGCCCCGGCUAACUCCGUG